rnacentral:lncRNA from 1 species
AUGUCUCAAGGCAUUUCCAAAUGUCAGAGUGUGUGCGUGCGUGCGUGCGUGCGUGUGAGUGAUGCAAAACCAUCCCCAGUCACAGCCUUGCCCCUGGCCUGGCUGCUACGCAGUAACCUCCCUGCAGCCCUGGAAAUAAGUACCAAUCUCAGAGGAAAUCCUGACUCCAACAAGCAAGGCACACAUCAUACUUGUAAAAAUCCAAACAUAAUAACAGAGUGUCAGAGCAGAGCACACGUGUGCCGCUAAUUACAGACGGAGAAACAGAUGGCCUCACCCUCGUGGAAGAUUCGAGGAAAACCUCCGCGGAACGAGGCUCGGGAAAUGGCUCUGAUAGGCCGGCGGCAGAUGGAAGAGAGGCACGCUUUUGUCUCCUGUCUCAGCUGGUCUCCCUACUCUGUCAGGGCUGGAGAAGUCCCCUGUCAUUAGCGCGUCAGAGCAACAGCCAGAAACACAGGGGACGCCCGCACCUUUUUGGCAGCUGGAGAUGCUGGGAGAUUAAAGAAGCUGCGUGGAGGAAACGAGUGCUUCUCUAUAGCGGUUCCUCUUCCCAGCCCCUCUGACGGCGUCUCAGCCAGCGGCUCUCCCUGUGUCUGCUUGGGAGUCGUCUGUGUAUGUGUGUGUGCACGUGCGUGUGCAUGUCUGUGUGCAAGUGCGUGUGUGUGCAUACGUGCGUUUUUCACGUCUCCAUCACCUCCAUGAGUGGGGUAGGUAGAAUCAUGGCCCCCUAAGUGUGUCCCCGCCCCAGUCCCAGAAACCUCUGCCUGUGUUCUAUUGUGUGGCAAAGGGGAGUGAAGGGAGCCGUUGGGGUUGAGGCUGUUGAUGAGCUGACCUCGGAAAAGGAGGUGGCUGUGGACUGCCAGGGUGGGCCAGGAAGGGGGCUCAUGCUGUCCUCAGGUAGGGAAGAGGGAGGCACGGAAUCCUGUCGGGGUGGCUGACUGAGAUGGACUCAGCCAGGCACAGCCGGGCUACAGAUGGCCAUGGCUGUGAGCCACCACGUGGGCUGUGAGCAGCCCUGAGAAGCUGGAGAAGGCAGA